GGAAAGUUCGCAUAAUGGUAUUGCAGAGGCCUUGAAAGCCUCCGACCGAAAGGUUAUAUAAGUUCGAAUCUUAUACUUUCCG
rnacentral:tRNA from 1 species